AUUUUUUGCCUAUGCCUCUCUUCCACCUUCCACCCUCAUUCCCCCUCUACGCAAAAUUUCCAAAGACUUGGUGAAGAUAGGAAAACUAUCAGAAAGGCAGUGGCACCAUUAUCCUAACUGUUUUGUACUGAGUCUGAAGUCAUCUUUGGCCUGUAACAAGAGCAUGCAUUUUCAAGUGUCAGUUAGAUUUGCGGAUUAAUAAAGGUCUCCUGAAAGGUAGUCACUUUUUUU
rnacentral:lncRNA from 1 species